rnacentral:lncRNA from 1 species
UUUUUUUUUAGGGUGAAAAGACCUAUUCUCAUCACCCCCCCAUAUAUUCUGACUGAUUUAUGUUCUAGCCACUGCAGCUCUUCCUUCCGUAUCUCUUUACAUUUUUUCCUCUCUCCAUAGAACACCACCAGGCAAAACCCCAUUUUAAGUCCAAAAUUGUAAAAAAUGCUUAAGCAAACAGUGCUCACUACUAUGAGGGAAGGAAUAGUACAACUACUGGUUUAUGGGGAGAGGCGAGUCAAGGAAAUCCCUCCUGCUUUUCUAAACUGCUCAUUUUCUUGCUCAAAAGGCAUUCAAUAACUUCUCCACCAGGGGAGAACAUACCCACUUUUCAGUGGCUCUCUUGAUUACUUCCAACUAUUUACUUAAAUUCACCAACAGCUGCAUGUCUUUGAGAAGCUUCAGAACUUGGGGAAUAUUUACAAAUACAUAAGGGGCUGAGAGAGUACGUGUGAGUCUCUUCGAAAUGGCAAGAGAAAACUAUUGCACUGUACAGUCAGGGACAGAGAAAUCACUGCCAAUGCAAAGACAAGAGAAAGGCAAUACCUUAACCCAAGGAAGGAGGAAAAAAAAACACUCGGUUAGCCCUCUUUGGGCUGAAGGACUGGAGUGUCCUUCCUGAAUCUGAGAGCAGACGACAGCCACUGCUGGCUGGGUCCACUGCCCUACACUGCUCAGCUGUUUUUUUCCAGAAGAACACUUCCCUGCUCUGCGAGGCUGAUGGCAUCUUUUUUGCCCAUUCCAGUCUCCAAACCCUAUGUGCUGGUUCCCCUAACAACCCGUGGAUCUCGCCUCUCAGCCCCCAGCACUUCAUUCGCGUUGCCUUUCCUGUGAGAACUGGGUCAUAAAAUUUUACAGGGGAGAAAGGUAGAAAGGGGCGGUUCAGUAGUAUAAACACUGAUUAAAUUCCCGGGCAACUCUCCCCAAAUGAAAGAUAAUUUUUCUACAAGUAUGCACAAGAAUGUCAAGAAUGCUAAGUCAUUUUUAUGUUUGCACUUUCCUUUUCCAUUUUAAUUUUACACCGCCACAUGGCACACAUGCUAAAAAUGUAUCUCCGUAACCUGCAGUGUAGCAAACUUUUCACAAAACAUUGAAAACCCCGUGUUUUAUAGACUGUCCUUUCCCAGGAUGCUCCAAGCAUUUUUUAGAUACAGAAUUAGAUCAUCUUACGACAACUGUCCUGUUAGAAAGACAUGGCUACUCGUGCAUUGGCAAAUAGGGGAAAAUCAGAAGCCCUGGAAAGGAAAGGUCACACCAAAGUCAGUGGCGGCAGCCUUAAGUAGACUCUGAGUGCUUGGUUUUCCAAUUUAUACUACUUCCCACUUGCUCCUCAUUUGUCUCUCUUUUUGCCCUGGCAGGAAAGGAUGUGGCCAGUGCGGAGGCUUGACCUCAUCUCCUGUACUUGGCUUCGCUCUGACACGCUGUUCUCCCACACUCUUGCCCUGUUUUCUCCGUCAUCAGCUGGCCAGCUCUCACCAGGGGCCAAGCCAAGAGGAGGCAACCGCAGGUGCCCUUGUAGCCGCCUCCAGUGUUGGCAACCGAAGCCUGCCCCUGCCAGGUCCCAUGCCCGGUGGGGCUGCGAGGGUCACCCGAACAUAACAAUUCAUUUACAGAUCAUAUAAAUACAUGAAAGAGCCGGGUCAUUUAUGGGGUUCCCAGUUGGCAAUGACCCCACUGCACUCCAGCCAAAUGAGGCCGAGGAAGGUGAGCUGAUGAUCCAAGUACACUAUCCGUCUCUAGCAUUGGUGCAAUCACAGUAACACAGUUGCGCCUACUUGUUUUUGUCUUUUUUUUUUUUUUUUUAAGUAGAUCUAAUUCCUUAGCCGUGUCCCUGAUGCCGCGACAGCUCUAAUUUCCUUUGGUGGGAGGACAUCAGAGACUAGAAGGGAUCAGGGGACAUUUUAUUUGGGGAGGGGCAGACUCAGUUUCCAGGCGACCUAUUAACAGUCAGAAGACAAAAUACUUCCUGGCGGUUGCGCCAAUAACAACAGCAGCAGCAAUAGUAAUAGUAACGACAAUGGCAACACUAAAGCGCAGUAAAGCCUGAAUCUACCAGGCGAACCGCCCCCCCCCCGCCCCCGGCCCAGGUGUCCUGCUGCCAGCCCUCUCACUCUGGCCGGUCUCGGCGCACAAACUGGCUCUGGCGCUGCCUCCAGGCUGCCCUCCAGGUUCCAACCCCCACCCCCGCCCCCAAGGUGGGUAGCCCUGCUGAGCCUCCUGCUUCAGCCUAAGUCCAGCCCACAGUCUCUCCUGCUGCCAAGGGGCUGGGACUACCUGGGACUCCGAGGUAGCGUUUCUUUCACAAAUCUGCAACUUUCCCCCUAUCCGCCCCGCUCGCAGCCUCCGCGCCCCAGCUCCCACCCGCGGCGAGCACAGCGAGCAAAGCCCAAACACCCCGCGCGCAAUUCGGAGCUUUCCCCGGAGGGUCCGGGCCCGGAGACAGGAAAUCCGGGGAGUUGGCGAUGUCCGGCAGGUGGCGGGGCCCCGAGUGUCCACCACAUUCUCCUCCCACGGCUGAGCUCGAGCGGGGACGCGGCGAGGGGCGCGGGCUGCGACCGGACCCGCAGGCGCCCGGGCCUCCCCGAAGCCUCGGUCCCGGGGCCCCC